AGUGAACGCUGGCGAUAGGCCUAACACAUGCAAGUCGAACGGCAGCACAGUAAGAGCUUGCUCUUACGGGUGGCGAGUGGCGGACGGGUGAGGAAUACAUCGGAAUCUACUUUUUCGUGGGGGAUAACGUAGGGAAACUUACGCUAAUACCGCAUACGACCUACGGGUGAAAGCAGGGGAUCUUCGGACCUUGCGCGAUUGAAUGAGCCGAUGUCGGAUUAGCUAGUUGGCGGGGUAAAGGCCCACCAAGGCGACGAUCCGUAGCUGGUCUGAGAGGAUGAUCAGCCACACUGGAACUGAGACACGGUCCAGACUCCUACGGGAGGCAGCAGUGGGGAAUAUUGGAGAAUGGGCGCAAGCCUGAUCCAGCCAUACCGCGUGGGUGAAGAAGGCCUUCGGGUUGUAAAGCCCUUUUGUUGGGAAAGAAAAGCAGCAGGUUAAUACCCCGCUGUUCUGACGGUACCCAAAGAAUAAGCACCGGCUAACUUCGUG
rnacentral:rRNA from 1 species